CUCAGCUUCCUUGUUCUUUCCGCCUAUAUACCACCGUCGUCAGUUUACCCUGUGAAGGUACAACAGUAAGCACAAUCGGCACAGCCCAAAACGCCAGGUCGAGGUGUAGCGUAUGGAAGGGGAAGAAAUGGGCUACAUUCCUUAUCAUUAAGGCAUACGGAUGAUAUGUUGAAACACAUAACUGAAGGAGGAUUUAGCAGUAAGCAGGAAGUAGAGUGUCCCGCUGAAACCGGCUCUGAAGCGCGCACACACCGCCCGUCACUCUCCCCGAGCUAAGAUUUGUCAUUUAACUAAAACCUUAUAACUGUAAAGGGGAGGCAAGUCGUAACAUGGUAAGUGUACCGGAAGGUGCACUUGGAAUAAACAUAC
rnacentral:rRNA from 1 species